UCCCUGGUGGCUCAGAUGGUAAAGAACCUGCCUGCAAUGCAGGAGACCCAGGUUCGAUUCCUGGGUUGGGAA
rnacentral:tRNA from 1 species